GGGCUUCCCACAGAGCACAGGACUGGCACUGAGAGCAUGAGCUCUCCACAGCUGGGAAGGACGAGGAAGAGGAGGAGGAGGAGAGAUGCACAAAGCACCCGGGGCUCAGCCAGAGCCUCGUGUGCAAUACGGCCAGGAGAAAUGUGGUGGCUGGAAAGAUGGACGAGUGCACAGUUUCAUUCUGCUUCAUGCAGAGCUACCAUCACCUCGCUCAGUAUUUUACGGAAGGCUCGCCGGGCUGAGCCUGUAGGCUUCGAAAUCAUCGACAAUGUGCUAAUGUAAAGUUGCCUGAGCUUAUGGAAGAUUUUGAAGGCCUGGAUUCCAUGUGUUGAGACUGGCACCAUAUCAGAGGAACAGCUGAGUAUAUGGAGCAGGGAAGCUACGUGACUCCACAGCAUCCUGGCACCAUGACCAGCACAAAGCUGCUGAUGGGGACAAGCUGAAGCCUUUGUCUUUCCUGGGUGAAUGAACAAGCUGAAGACUUUAGGUACAGCGUCCUUCCUUCUGGAGCAGGUCACCCCUGCCACCAAGCCAGGCUGCUCCUUCCCCAGAGCAGUUUGGGGAAUGAAUUUUCACACUGGCCCAGCUCAAUUGGGCUAAAAGAGCUGCCUCACUCAUCUGAGCUCUUUGGGAAGGCUCUUGGGCUGGGGCUUUUGCUGUCCUUAGAAGGGGCCACCAGGAUGUGUGAGUGGAAGUGAGAAAUGAGAUUUCCCGGGAAUAAUCCUCCUACAUGAAACUCAGUGGCAUCUGUGAAAAGGCUCGUGGGCACCCAGAGGAUCCACGUGAGGGAGCGCAGGGAGGUGUCUGGACUGAGACCAUGUCCUGGUAAUUCGCUCAAAACUUGUCAGGGUCAGGUUCAGUGGGGUGUCCAGGCUGAUCAGAGAGAGGGAGGCACCGAGGGCCUGGAUCACACAGCUGAGCUCAGCACAGUGCAGGGCAGAAUGUGCCACAAACAGAGGCAGAGCCCACCCUGAGCACUGAGAGCUCCCAAAUUGGGUGAUUUUGUGACAACCCAAUGAGGACCCCUGCUUAAGAGCCUAGCAAUGACCGGAAAGGUGACUAAAAAUAAGAGGCUUCCAGGGGGAGACUGCAGAGAAGGAUGUCAGGAGCCUCACAGAGGCGUUAGGCAGGCGGGGAGUGUCACUGUGACCUCGCCGGGAGCGCUGUGGGCAGGGCUGCACAUCCCACCUCGCAAAU